UACGUAGGGUGCGAGCGUUGUCCGGAAUUACUGGGCGUAAAGAGCUCGUAGGUGGUUUGUCGCGUUGUUCGUGAAAACUCACAGCUCAACUGUGGGCGUGCGGGCGAUACGGGCAGACUAGAGUACUGCAGGGGAGACUGGAAUUCCUGGUGUAGCGGUGGAAUGCGCAGAUAUCAGGAGGAACACCGGUGGCGAAGGCGGCGUUCUGGACUGUUUCUGACACUGAAAAACGAAAGCCAGGGGAGCAAACGGG
rnacentral:rRNA from 1 species